rnacentral:lncRNA from 1 species
GGCCUCGGUGCCCCUGAGGAUGUCCACGAUGCGGAGGCAGUGCGAGUAGUGAAUGGCGGCGCCCGCCAGCAGCCGUGCGAUCUCCUCAUGCUCGGGCAUAUCCCGCAGCGCAGCCUCGAUCUUCUGCCGCACGGCGCUCACCUGGGCCUGCCAGCGCAGGCCGCAGUGCCGCCGGUCCACCAACCAGUCCAGCAGCUUGCCGGUCUGGAUGUCGAUGGGCACAUCCUGGUAGUCCCGCGGAGAGGCCUGCAUCCCGCCCGCUGCGCGCCGCUCGCCGCCGCUUCCGCUUUCUCC